rnacentral:rRNA from 2 species
AGACCCGAAACCCGGUGAUCUAGCCAUGGGCAGGUUGAAGGUUGGGUAACACUAACUGGAGGACCGAACCGACUAAUGUUGAAAAAUUAGCGGAUGACCUGUGGCUGGGGGUGAAAGGCCAAUCAAACCGGGAGAUAGCUGGUUCUCCCCGAAAGCUAUUUAGGUAGCGCCUCGUGAAUUCAUCUCCGGGGGUAGAGCACUGUUUCGGCUAGGGGGCCAUCCCGGCUUACCAACCCGAUGCAAACUGCGAAUACCGGAGAAUGUUAUCACGGGAGACACACGGCGGGUGCUAACGUCCGUCGUGAAGAGGGAAACAACCCAGACCGCCAGCUAAGGUCCCAAAGUCAUGGUUAAGUGGGAAACGAUGUGGGAAGGCCCAGACAGCCAGGAUGUUGGCUUAGAAGCAGCCAUCAUUUAAAGAAAGCGUAAUAGCUCACUGGUCGAGUCGGCCUGCGCGGAAGAUGUAACGGGGCUAAACCAUGCACCGAAGCUGCGGCAGCGAACGUAUCACCCAAGACAACUUUACGGAGUUGACGAUUGACGGAGCGAAGCGACGUCAAAGCGUUCAUUAAAGUCGAGUUGGCUUAGGGAUACGUUCGUUGGGUAGGGGAGCGUUCUGUAAGCCUGUGAAGGUGUGUCGUGAGGCAUGCUGGAGGUAUCAGAAGUGCGAAUGCUGACAUAAGUAACGAUAAAGCGGGUGAAAAGCCCGCUCGCCGGAAGACCAAGGGUUCCUGUCCAACGUUAAUCGGGGCAGGGUGAGUCGACCCCUAAGGCGAGGCCGAAAGGCGUAGUCGAUGGGAAACGGGUUAAUAUUCCCGUACUUGGUGUUACUGCGAAGGGGGGACGGAGAAGGCUAUGUUGGCCGGGCGACGGUUGUCCCGGUUUAAGCGUGUAGGUGUGUGUUCCAGGUAAAUCCGGUUCACUUUAACACUGAGGCGUGACGACGAGGCACUACGGUGCUGAAGCAACAAAUGCCCUGCUUCCAGGAAAAGCCUCUAAGCAUCAGGUAACAUCAAAUCGUACCCCAAACCGACACAGGUGGUCAGGUAGAGAAUACCAAGGCGCUUGAGAGAACUCGGGUGAAGGAACUAGGCAAAAUGGUGCCGUAACUUCGGGAGAAGGCACGCUGACACGUAGGUGAAGUGAUUUACUCAUGGAGCUGAAGUCAGUCGAAGAUACCAGCUGGCUGCAACUGUUUAUUAAAAACACAGCACUGUGCAAACACGAAAGUGGACGUAUACGGUGUGACGCCUGCCCGGUGCCGGAAGGUUAAUUGAUGGGGUCAGCGCAAGCGAAGCUCCUGAUCGAAGCCCCGGUAAACGGCGGCCGUAACUAUAACGGUCCUAAGGUAGCGAAAUUCCUUGUCGGGUAAGUUCCGACCUGCACGAAUGGCGUAAUGAUGGCCAGGCUGUCUCCACCCGAGACUCAGUGAAAUUGAACUCGCUGUGAAGAUGCAGUGUACCCGCGGCAAGACGGAAAGACCCCGUGAACCUUUACUAUAGCUUGACACUGAACAUUGAGCCUUGAUGUGUAGGAUAGGUGGGAGGCUUUGAAGUGUGGACGCCAGUCUGCAUGGAGCCGACCUUGAAAUACCACCCUUUAAUGUUUGAUGUUCUAACGUGGACCCGUAAUCCGGGUUGCGGACAGUGUCUGGUGGGUAGUUUGACUGGGGCGGUCUCCUCCUAAAGAGUAACGGAGGAGCACGAAGGUUGGCUAAUCCUGGUCGGACAUCAGGAGGUUAGUGCAAUGGCAUAAGCCAGCUUGACUGCGAGCGUGACGGCGCGAGCAGGUGCGAAAGCAGGUCAUAGUGAUCCGGUGGUUCUGAAUGGAAGGGCCAUCGCUCAACGGAUAAAAGGUACUCCGGGGAUAACAGGCUGAUACCGCCCAAGAGUUCAUAUCGACGGCGGUGUUUGGCACCUCGAUGUCGGCUCAUCACAUCCUGGGGCUGAAGUAGGUCCCAAGGGUAUGGCUGUUCGCCAUUUAAAGUGGUACGCGAGCUGGGUUUAGAACGUCGUGAGACAGUUCGGUCCCUAUCUGCCGUGGGCGCUGGAGAACUGAGGGGGGCUGCUCCUAGUACGAGAGGACCGGAGUGGACGCAUCACUGGUGUUCGGGUUGUCAUGCCAAUGGCACUGCCCGGUAGCUAAAUGCGGAAGAGAUAAGUGCUGAAAGCAUCUAAGCACGAAACUUGCCCCGAGAUGAGUUCUCCCUGAGACUUAGAGUCUCCUGAAGGAACGUUGAAGACGAC